UUGAAAUGCUGUUGCACAGUUAACAGAUUUUACACCACAUGCUGGUGAUAAUAAACGAUUAUGAAUCUGAGUGGAUAGACAAUGCUAUUGUCCUGGGGAUUGAAAUGUCUAAUACACUUAAGGUGAGACCAGAUGUAAGCGACGUUUGUGUCUUUCCACAGAGUGUUGGGAGCUGGACCCUCUGCCUGGGGUGGGAGACCCCACUAGUUACGUGAUCCUGUUUGCCCCUCCGAUUUAUCCGCAGAUGUACAAUCUCUUCACGCAUGCUCACUGUUUCCGGGUGGGUGGUGUUUUCCUUUCUGCUCAGCCUUCAAUGUUUAACGUUCAGUGAGUUUUGUUCAUAGUAACAAUUAAUAGAAAUGUUUGGUUCUCCUUUUUAUUGUUUAUCGGCUUCAUUAUCUUUGAUGUUAAAGUUAGACAUGUGAUGAGAGAUUUAUUGGAAGAAAAUCCCCAAAUGGAAGCAAACCAUGACUGAAGACGAGUGAAACAGCCCGAGGAUUGAGAACAUCAACUGGAGAGAACCCAAAUGACUUGGAGAUUCCAUUGAUAUAGUCAGGAGAAAGUUUGGUUAAAAAUGACAAGGAAUUUGUCUAUGGAAAUUCAAACAUAGCACCCCAGUUUUGCUGUCUCGGUCUAGAUAUUUAAGAAGUGGAGCAAGGGAUUUACUCGAUCAUCCUUCCUGCUCAUACUGUGGAGAGGGAUUCACUUGGUCAUCUGACUAACUGGCACGCCCAUCAUUUUACACAGGGGAGAGGCCAUUCACCUGCUCAGACAGUGGGAGUGCAUUCACUCGGUCAUCUCAACUGAAGGAAUCCUUCUGUUUCUGGGAAGAGGUCUCCAACUCUCAGUCAGGUGCUCGAUAUUUCCUUUUCACCAUCUCAUCUGCUCAGAUCAUUGGGAUGUCUCCCAUGGAGGGUCAUACUCAUUCCACUAGUUCAUGUUUUCUUCCACAGUGAUGAUUCGUUUUUCUGAGGUAGCUUCUCAUUUAAGUUUCCUGGUCUGUAUUUCUUAUCACAAUUGCAUAUACAUAUAUGGAGUGCUGAAUCAUGUUCAAAUUCAAUUGUAAUCUAAGAUGAUGGCGCGACGGAGCUUGCAGCGGCCAUUCCGGAGCAGAUUAUCAGUUAUUUGUCAAGCGGGGUGCCGUGCGCCAUCAUAAUCGGGUGAAAAACGGACGUGGGAGCACGGAGGAACAUCUGGAAAUCUCCAGAAGACCACUUUCGUUGCUGCUGCUGCUGUGAGGUCCGGGACUCAGCUGGGAAGAACAGGCACCCAGUCUUCGGAGUCGCGUUGGCGGGGCCGUCUUAAUACGCUCGGCAGAGGAUGGUGCUCGGAGAAGCUGUGCCGGAGGGGA